UCUGCCGUCAAACUAACAAAAGUGGAUUUGGACACGCCCUAAACGCACCUGCACCAGGCGCUUCACGCCGUGAGAAAAGCGUCUAAAAGCCUUAAAUAAAAAAGCCUUGUGUUUCCUGUUUGUGUCUGAAAAAAAAAACUUCCAAAAAGUGCCAAAAAUGACAAAAAAGUGCCAAAAGUCGAACAAAGCGUGUUUCCUGUUUGUGGUUUCCGUUUGACGAAAAAAGUCCCAAACACACCGCAAUACGUGACAAAAACGCAGAAAGAAGCCACGACCAACGGCUCUAAAGAGACUGAAAAGAAACAUCCUAAAAGCACAAGCUGUUUCGGUUUGUGUCCACGUUAAAUAAACGAGAUACGUGUUAAUGAGUGACGUUUAGAGGUUCUGGUUGGUGGGUUUUUAUACUUUGGACAGAACCAGGCUAGCAGUUUCCCCCUGCUUCCAGUCUUUAUGCUAAGCUAGGCUAACAACGUCCUCACUGCAGCUCCACGAACACAUCACAAAGACUGUUUGUAGGAGGUAUGGCAAGCCGUGUGGAACAUUUAUACGAUCCAUCUGAUACUAGUCAGUUUUCAUUUUAGACAUCAACAAUGGAAA